rnacentral:rRNA from 1 species
GACGAACGCUGGCGGCGUGCCUAAUACAUGCAAGUUGAGCGCUGAAGGUUGGUAUUUUUACUUACUGGAUGAGCGGCUUACGGGUGUGUAACGCGUGGGUCAUCUGCCUCUGAGCGGGGGACAACAUCUGGCAACGACUGCUAAUACCGCCUAAAAACUUUAAACACACGUUUUAAGUUUGAAAGAUACAAUUGCCUCACUCAAAUACGAUCCCGCGUUGUAUUAGCUAGUUGGCGAGGUAAACGCGCACCAAGGCGAUGAUACAUAGCCGACCUGAGAGGGUGAUCGGCCACAUUGGGACUGAGACACGGCCCAAGCUCCUACGGGAGGCAGCAGUAGGGAACCUUCGGCAAUAGACGAAAGUCUGACCGAGCAACGCCGCGUGAGUGAAGAAGGUUUUCGGAUCGUAAAACUCUGUUGGUAGGGAAGAACGGUGGUGAGUGUGGAAAGCGCAGCAAGUGACGGUAACUACCCAGAAAGGGACGGCUAACUACGUG